ensembl:lncRNA
AUCGGACACAAAAGACAGCGGUUUAGGAGCAAGCUGAGAGUGAAAAGCAGCAGCGAUGGCGAAUGGAACAAGACAAACAGCGGGAACAACAACAACAGCAGCAACAAUAACAGCAGGAGAUGGAGCGAGAAGCUGUGCUUUUCCUUGAAUCCUUUCCUGAUUGGAUGAGAAAACCAGAUGGGAAGCAAAGCAAGCAGAAACGGAGAGCAGAGGAGUGGCGAGGAACGGCGUUUACAGCGGCCGGGACAAAUCAAUUACAGGUAAAUGCCACAUGCACCAAAAGAAUGCAAAAAGCCCUUUGAGUGUAGUUUUGGAGUCG